AGAGUUUGAUCCUGGCUCAGAUUGAACGCUGGCGGCAGGCCUAACACAUGCAAGUCGAGCGGAUGACGGGAGCUUGCUCCUUGAUUCAGCGGCGGACGGGUGAGUAAUGCCUAGGAAUCUGCCUGGUAGUGGGGGACAACGUUUCGAAAGGAACGCUAAUACCGCAUACGUCCUACGGGAGAAAGCAGGGGACCUUAGGGCCUUGCGCUAUCAGAUGAGCCUAGGUCGGAUUAGCUAGUUGGUGGGGUAAUGGCUCACCAAGGCGACGAUCCGUAACUGGUCUGAGAGGAUGAUCAGUCACACUGGAACUGAGACACGGUCCAGACUCCUACGGGAGGCAGCAGUGGGGAAUAUUGGACAAUGGGCGAAAGCCUGAUCCAGCCAUGCCGCGUGUGUGAAGAAGGUCUUCGGAUUGUAAAGCACUUUAAGUUGGGAGGAAGGGCAGUAAGCUAAUACCUUGCUGUUUUGACGUUACCGACAGAAUAAGCACCGGCUAACUCUGUGCCAGCAGCCGCGGUAAUACAGAGGGUGCAAGCGUUAAUCGGAAUUACUGGGCGUAAAGCGCGCGUAGGUGGUUUGUUAAGUUGGAUGUGAAAGCCCCGGGCUCAACCUGGGAACUGCAUCCAAAACUGGCAAGCUAGAGUACGGUAGAGGGUGGUGGAAUUUCCUGUGUAGCGGUGAAAUGCGUAGAUAUAGGAAGGAACACCAGUGGCGAACGCGACCACCUGGACUGAUACUGACACUGAGGUGCGAAAGCGUGGGUAGCAAACAGGAUUAGAUACCCUGGUAGUCCACGCCCUAAACGAUGUCAACUAGCCGUUGGAAUCCUUGAGAUUUUAGUGGCGCAGCUAACGCAUUAAGUUGACCGCCUGGGGAGUACGGCCGCAAGGUUAAAACUCAAAGGAAUUGACGGGGACCCGCACAAGCGGUGGAUGAUGUGGAUUAAUUCGAUGCAACGCGAAGAACCUUACCAGGCCUUGACAUGCAGAGAACUUUCCAGAGAUGGAUUGGUGCCUUCGGGAACUCUGACACAGGUGCUGCAUGGCUGUCGUCAGCUCGUGUCGUGAGAUGUUGGGUUAAGUCCCGCAACGAGCGCAACCCUUGUCGUUAAUUGCCAUCAUUUAGUUGGGCACUUUAACGAGACUGCCGGUGACAAACCGGAGGAAGGUGGGGAUGACGUCAAGUCCUCAUGGCCCUUAUGGGUAGGGCUUCACACGUCAUACAAUGGUCGGUACAGAGGGUUGCCAAGCCGCGAGGUGGAGCCAAUCCCAGAAAGCCGAUCGUAGUCCGGAUUGCAGGCUGCAACUCGCCUGCAUGAAGUCGGAAUCGCUAGUAAUCGCGGAUCAGCAUGUCGCGGUGAAUACGUUCCCGGGUCUUGUACACACCGCCCGUCACACCAUGGGAGCGGGUUCCGCCAGAAGUAGGUAGCCUAACCGUAAGGAGGGCGCUUACCACGGCGGGGUUCGUGACUGGGGUGAAGUCGUAACAAGGUAGCCGUA
rnacentral:rRNA from 1 species